GACGAACGCUGGCGGCGUGCUUAACACAUGCAAGUCGAACGGAAAGGCCCUGCUUUUGUGGGGUGCUCGAGUGGCGAACGGGUGAGUAACACGUGAGUAACCUGCCCUUGACUUUGGGAUAACUUCAGGAAACUGGGGCUAAUACCGGAUAGGAUCUCCCGCUUCAUGAUGGGGGUUGGAAAGUUUCGGCGGUUGGGGAUGGACUCGCGCCUUAUCAGCUUGUUGGUGGGGUAGUGGCUUACCAAGGCCUUGACGGGUAGCCGGCCUGCGAGGGUGACCGGCCACAUUGGGACUGAGAUACGGCCCAGACUCCUACGGGAGGCAGCAGUGGGGAAUAUUGCACUAUGGGCGGAAGCCUGAUGCAGCAACGCCGCGUGCGGGAUGACGGCCUUCGGGUUGUAAACCGCUUUCGCCUGUGACGAAGCGUGAGUGACGGUAAUGGGUAAAGAAGCACCGGCUAACUACGUG
rnacentral:rRNA from 1 species